GGUAUAUAGCUCAGUGGUAGAAUGUGUGCUUAGCAUGCAUGAGGCCCUGGGUUCAAUUCCCAGCACCA
rnacentral:tRNA from 1 species